rnacentral:rRNA from 1 species
AUAGCGUAUAUUAAAGUUGUUGCAGUUAAAAAGCUCGUAGUUGAAAUUGGGCGCGGCUGGCCGGUCCGCCUCACGGCGUGUACUGGUCUCGGCCGUGCUUUCCUCUUGGUCUGCCCGAGAGCGCUUCACUGUGCGCUUGGGUUGGACCAGGACUUUUACUUUGAAAAAAUUAGAGUGUUCAAAGCAGGCAUUUGCUCGGAUACAUUAGCAUGGAAUAAUAGAAUAGGACGUCGAUCCUAUUUUGUUGGUUUCUAGGACCACCGUAAUGAUUAAUAGGGAUAGUUGGGGGCAUUAGUAUUCAAUUGUCAGAGGUGAAAUUCUUGGAUUUAUUGAAGACUAACUACUG